AAUCCUAAUUUGAUUACUGUGGGUGGAUGAGAACUUGGCACAAAGCCUCCAGAAGAGGUGAAGGAUGAGGGAGAAGUCAGAUGAACGUUUACAAGGCGCCGUAAGGGUGGGAGCAGUGGCGAGGGACGGAAACCCGAGUUCAGGCGUCAUCUGAAGAAAGGCAGGAACCUGGUGAGGCAGAGGGAGUGCGGGCAUGUGGGUGACACGAGGCCCACGCAUUCUUUCUUGAAACUUUAAAUCUGGGUUGCUUUGCCUUUCAGAUCUAAAAUGGUCCCUGGCUCCUGUAAGUGUGCAUAUGUUGAUCUUCACUCAAGAGGCGCUCUGGGGGCAAGAAGUCAGGGCCAAAGGGCGGCUUUGCCCUUUCCAGAUCAAAACUGGGGAGAAGGCCGCUAAGGACCACUGGCUUCCAGGAGCGCGGGAACAUUUCCGGGGCGGCCCUGCCCCCUGCUGGAGAGGUCCCGUCCCCGUGUCCCCGUGUCCCCGUGGCAGUGAUCUCAGGCGUGGCGGGAGGGGUGCAGGCCGGGGACUUUCGGGAGCAGCGGCGGUGGAGCUUGAUGGGGCUGGGACUUCUGGUCCUGGGGCGGGAUUCCAUACUAACACGUGGGCCUCGGGAGAGUUUGGAGGCCCCGCCUGGCGUGAAUUGUUGGCAGAAGAGGAGGGGGAAGCACCGGCAGAACCGGGCAGAGUGUGGAGGACCCCCGAAGCAAAGGAGGUGAGAGGGACCAGAAGGAAGGCCAGGGGGUAGGAGACGGCCUGAGGGCGUGGCCCCUCCCGGGGGGCUGCUCGCAGGGACCAGUGCGGAGGCCGGGUGCUGUCACGUGUGCUGCCGAUGGGACGCCGCUUUCCCGCUGCUCUGCCAGCCCUCAGUACCUGCUUUUGGCAGCUUCGCCUUCCCUCUCGUAGCCCUGUCUGGGUGACCUUCCCUAUCGGAGCAGCCACGCGUUCUGUGCUGGGCUGCAGAGCCAGGCCGAGGAGUGCCGUGUGAGCAGUGAAGGCCGAGUCCAGACCUCGCUGCUUCCACUAGACCAGGAACCUCCAGAAAUGGGAAUGAAGGCCCUGACCGUUCUCUGUAGAUCACAAGGAAGAUAAACUUGCUUGCCCCUCUCCUUUGGGCAGGAUCCCAAGGGCCACGGCCCCUUGAUGCCCCUUAAUCUUGGCAUCAACAAGCCCACAAAGUCUCUUGUGUGGCAUUGAAGGAACUACAGACCACAGAGGGUGGAGAGCAGGCUUCUCCUCGAGUCAGUGCAAGAGCAUUAAGACUUGGCUGUACCUUUACCCCGUCCUACCAGGUCUGAUACCCUUGCUCCUCUGUGAGGAUUUCCUGAAGAGAAAUUUACAGUGCGUCUUUCAUUCUUAAUCCUGGGAAAUCGUUUUGUUUGGUGAUGGCCAUUGACCAUGACUGCAGGGGGACUUUCAGAGUGAGUGAGUGUUUGCAUAUACAUUGGAAUUAGAAAGAACUUCCAGGUUCAACCUCCUCCAUCAGUUAGGUAAAGAACUUUGAUCUGUGCCAAACAUGGGAUCAGUUCACCCAAAUCAACCCACUCCUAAUAAUGGGAACAAAAGUUGAUCACCCUAUAGCUUCCCUGUUCUUAGCGUGGCCAUGAGACUGGUCUAUUCAAAACUCCCAUUUAGUGCCACCUGGGUGGCUCAGUCAGUUAAGCUUUUGACUUUUGAUUUCGGCUCAGGUCAUGAUCUCAUGGUUUGUGAGUUUGAGCCCCACGUUGGGCUCUGAACUGGCAGUACAGAGCCUGCUUGGGAAUCUCUGUCUCCCUCUCCCUCUGCCCCUCCUCUGCUAACAAAAAAUCUCUCUCUCUCAAAAAUAAAUAAAUAAACAUUAAAAAGAAAAAAACCCACCAAACAAAAAACCCUCCAAAAUUCCAUUCAAAACUCCCACACGUACUUCUCCAUGCUCUUUUCCCCUUCCAGCUAUCUGGGACUGUCACUCCCCAGCAAGACCCUGGGAGCCAUGGGCUGGAGGAAGAGUGACUGUCAGCCAGGAUCCUUUCAUGACAAAGUAGAAGAGAGACACCCUACCUACCCCCUGACCCUGCUGCAAGUGUGGCUAUUAAACUGCCUUACUGGAA